ensembl:miRNA
GAGGUGGGAGGAUCGCUUGAGCCUGGGAGGUUCAGGCUGCAGUGAGCUGUGAUUAUACCACUGCACUCCAGCCUGAGUGACAGA